GGGGAUGAAAGGCUCGACAGAAAUUUAAGCCAAGGUAGUUCAAAUCGAGUUUUCUAGAGUCUCGUUAAAUCCCGCGUCUAUGAUGCAGGAUAAAAUUCUAGAAAAAAGUAAGUGCAAACUUAUUUAGAAAACCUGCUUUAGCUUUAGCUUAAGGCAGCAUCGAAGAUAAUCGAUUCUCGAUAGAUUAUUUGAGGUGUCAUAAGUUCCUGCGAGAUAGAUAGGCUUUAUAAGUCUCGGUAACCUAUCGAAACAUUAGAGACUGGUGAUGCUGGAGUUUUGUCUGUUUUUUGUCUAGUAUUCCAAAAAUAAAACAGACUAAAUUUGUAAAACUGCUUUUGGUAAAAUUUCUGGACGCGAGUUCAUUACUCGCCAUCUCCACAA
rnacentral:tmRNA from 1 species